rnacentral:rRNA from 1 species
AGCUUGUUGGUGGGGUAAUGGCCUACCAAGGCUACGAUGGUUAGCUGGUCUGAGAGGAUGAUCAGCCACACUGGAACUGACACACGGUCCAGACUCCUACGGGAGGCAGCAGUGAGGAAUUUUGCGCAAUGGGGGAAACCCUGACGCAGCAACGCCGCGUGAGUGAUGAAGGCUUUCGGGUCGUAAAACUCUGUCAAGUGGGAAGAACCUGUCCUGUGCCAAUACCACAGGACACUGACGGUACCACUAAAGGAAGCACCGCUAACUCCGUGCCAGCAGCCGCGGUAAUACGGGGGGUGCAAGCGUUAUUCGGAAUCAUUGGGCGUAAAGGGCGCGUAGGCGGCCUUGUAAGUCAGAUGUGAAAGCCCGGGGCUUAACCCCGGAAGUGCAUUUGAAGCUACAAGACUUGAGUAUGGGAGAGGGAAGUGGAAUUCCUGGUGUAGAGGUGAAAUUCGUAGAUAUCAGGAGGAACAUCAGUGGCGAAGGCGACUUCCUGGACCAAUACUGACGCUAAGGCGCGAAGGCGUGGGUAGCAAACAGGAUUAGAUACCCUGGUAGUCCACGCAGUAAACGUUGAUCACUAGGUGCAGCGGGUAUUGACCCCUGCUGUGCCGUAGUUAACGCAUUAAGUGAUCCGCCUGGGGAGUACGGCCGCAAGGCUAAAACUCAAAGGAAUUGACGGGGGCCCGCACAAGCGGUGGAGCAUGUGGUUUGAUUCGACGCAACGCGAAGAACCUUACCUGGAUUUGACAUCCUGGGAAUCUUUCUGAAAAGUUAGAGUGCCCUUCGGGGAGCCCGGUGACAGGUGCUGCAUGGCUGUCGUCAGCUUGUGUCGUGAGAUGUUGGGUUAAGUCCCGCAACGAGCGCAACCCCUAUCUUUAGUUACCAGCGAUUCGGUCGGGAACUCUAGAGAUACUGCCCCGGUUAACGGGGAGGAAGGUGGGGAUGACGUCAAGUCCUCAUGGCCUUUAUGUCCAGGGCUACACACGUGCUACAAUGGGCUGUACAAAGGGUAGCGAGCCUGCGAAGGUCAGCCAAUCCCAUAAAGCAGUUCUUAGUUCGGAUUGGAGUCUGCAACUCGACUCCAUGAAGCUGGAAUCGCUAGUAAUCGUGGAUCAGCAUGCCACGGUGAAUACGUUCCCGGGCCUUGUACACACCGCCCGUCACACCAUGAGAGUUGAUUGUACCGGAAGUUGUUGGGCCAACCCAUUCGGGAGGCAGGCACCUAUGGUAUGAUUGAUGAUUAGGGUGAAGUCGUAACAAGGUAGCCGUUGGGGAACCAGCGGCUG